rnacentral:tRNA from 1 species
GGGGAUGUGGCUUAGUGGUAGAGUGCUUGCCUAGCAUGCAUGAAGACUUAGGUUUGAUUUCUUCAGCACCA